rnacentral:lncRNA from 1 species
AGCACGAUCAUUGUAUCUCGCGUACAUCCACGUAUGAUUAUCACUCAUUCUUGCAAAUUCUAAUUGAAAAUAAAAAUAAAUCAAAUACAAUAAAUUACUUGGAUCUAAGAAAAUUUCAACAGCAUAACCCUGAUCUAGCCCUAUCUUUUGGGUUGUCUUUACCGAGUGGAUUAGCUCUUAUUCCUGCCUAUCUAUAGUUCGAUACUGGUCAC